rnacentral:rRNA from 1 species
GACGAACGCGGCGGCGUGCUUAACACAUGCAAGUCGAACGAUGAUGCUCCAGCUAUGUUGGGGUGGAUUAGUGGCGAACGGGUGAGUAACACGUGAGUAACCUGCCCUCUUCUUUGGGAUAACGGUCGGAAACGGCUGCUAAUACAGGAUAUUCACUCAUUGGCGCAUGUUGGUGGGUGGAAAGGUUUUUUCUGGUGGGGGAUGGGCUCGCGGCCUAUCAGCUUGUUGGUGGGGUGAUGGCCUACCAAGGCUUUGACGGGUAACCGGCCUGAGAGGGUGACCGGUCACAUUGGGACUGAGAUACGGCCCAGACUCCUACGGGAGGCAGCAGUGGGGAAUUUUGCACAAUGGGCGCAAGCCUGAUGCAGCGACGCCGCGUGAGGGAUGAAGGCCUUCGGGUUGUAAACCUUUUUCGCUCAUGGUCAAGCCGCAGCUUUGGGUUGUGGUGAGGGUAGUGGGUAAAGAAGCGCCGGCUAACUACGUGCCAGCAGCCGCGGUAAUACGUAGGGCGCGAGCGUUGUCCGGAAUUAUUGGGCGUAAAGGGCUUGUAGGCGGUUGGCCGCGUCUGCCGUGAAAUCCUCUGGCUUAACUGGGGGCGUGCGGUGGGUACGGGUUGACUUGAGUGCGGUAGGGGAGACUGGAAUUCCUGGUGUAGCGGUGGAAUGCGCAGAUAUCAGGAGGAACACCGGUGGCGAAGGCGGGUCUCUGGGCCGUUACUGACGCUGAGGAGCGAAAGCGUGGGGAGCGAACAGG